rnacentral:lncRNA from 1 species
AUCUAAUACUAACAUACAGCCUGUAAACUAGUCCCUAAUGAUAUCCAAAUUUCAAUAGCAAUGAGAAUUCAACUAUUACAAUCUGAAAUUUAGCUAUGCAUUUUCUAGCAAAAUCCUGGAAGUUCAUGACAAAUCUACAUCUACAACUUAUUCUAACAACAGCAAAAUCCCUGCACCUUUAGUAGUUACAAGAACCACUUAAGCUGAAUAAACUACUUCAUAAAAUACCUCUAGCAUAGAACUUGCAAGUUUUCCUUCACUAGUAUUCAUAUGCCAACUUACACAUGCUGACACCUUCAAAUUUUGGAUAAUUUAAACCAAGCUAUACUGAACUUUUAAGCUUCAAAUAUCACACACAACCAGUUAACUCAUGUCAGUAUUACAGGUGAAACUAGGUAAGCAUUUUUCUGGAAAAAAAAUAUUGCAGUAUAUCAAACAUUCCUCACACACAAAAGGUCUCAAAUGUUAUGAAUUACCUACACUCCAACAGAAACAUAUUCAAAUCCUAAAAUGAACAUACCGCAUUUAAGAAGAACAUAAAAUAAAAGAAAUUCAUAAUAGGAAUAUAACUAAGCUAGAACCAGCAGACUAAUAUUUAAACUUAAAAAAUUCUAUUUCUCUUUCAAUCUUCAAUUUGAGCAUCACAUUGUACAAGUUCCAAGAGACAUGUACCUGGAUAUUGAAAGAGCAAAGAAAAGAUGAAGAAGCAAUGAGGAAUCAGCAGAGUAGCAGCAAAAAAGAGCCUAGAUGCAGUCAAAACGGUGAAACCAGGUUAUGAAACCAAUGGAACAGUAUAAAACUAUCAAACCAAGAUUUUACAAGCCCAGAUUCAAUCUAUUUCCACUCCAGAUGACUCAGAACAUGUUAUAGAAAUUGAAGACAUCAAGAAUCACAAAAGAAAAUUCAAUCGAACAGUAAUUUUUAAGAAAUUUUUAGCCUCUUUUCAAUUUUUGCAGAAUUUUCUCUCUUCUAGUCUCCCUUCAACUUCAAGUAAUAAUGCCUUUAUCGGCAAGUUUCUAGGCAGCAAAACUUCAAUUUUUGCCCAUUAAACCUUUUAAUUUUUAUAUUUGCUACUUAAUCCUUGAAUUUCUGAUUUAUGUGUCAAGUAAGUUUGUUUUUCAGCUUCCAGGAAGCUUCCUAAAUUAGUUAUUGAAAGAUUCCCAAAGUAAAUUUCCUAGACUACCUUUAAAAUCAAUAUUAUUUACCCUCAAGACUAAAUGGGUAUGGGUUAUGAGUCUGUAAACCCUAACUAAAUCCCCACUUGGGCUCUUUGGUUUUCAGAAUCCAAUUAAAAUAAACCGGGGAUUCUCAAUUUUAAUAACUGGCCCAAAAUUUCAAAAAGAAGAAACUAGGAACCUUUUGAAAUAUAGCCAAAACAAAACAAAAGUUAAUGAACUGAUUAAACUAGCUAUAUAAUAGGAAAUUAGCUAGGUUAUGGACCUAAUUGUAUUAACCAAAUGAUCAAACAAAAGCAAACCAGAAGAUUACGAACUAAAAAAGAUCAGAGGAAUAAAUUUGAACAAAAAACAAAGCUAAAAAUGAACCACAUGAACAUGAUUUAUUCAAAACGAGAGGAUCAGUCGAGUUUCAAUUGAAAUCGACCAGAGAAGAUAAAAAGAGAUGAGGAGGGACGAAAACCAGAAUAACACCAACGUCAAACAAAAUAAGAAAGAACUCACUGGCCAGGCUCGAACUUGGAAUUGGCACUCUAAGUCAACCCAAAAUAAUGUCAAAUGUUUGUUCUUGGUGGAAGACAAACGAGUCUCACUAUUUUGUGCUGAAAUAGGCUUGAAAAAGCCAAGAAAUCAAGAAAAAUGACCUUGCAUUCAUGGAUUCACUUUUGAGCUCCUAAAACUCAUACCUCAGAUUUAAUAUUUGAGCAGUUCGAGGGGUAUUCAAGGGUAAAGGUCUAUAGAUUUAGAAAGAGGGGAGUGAGGAGGUCUUGUGGUGUUAUUUUUGUGGUAGUUGGUGGUGGCGUCGCCACCCUAAGGCGGUGGGAUGUCAGGGCGGUUGGCUAGGGUUCCAUUUUUCUAUCUGAAUUUUGAGGAAUUCCAGGUAGAUUUGAGGUGAACGGAGUGGGGAUUUGGGACGAUGGGGUGAAGAGGAGUCAGUGGUACAAUUUUGGAGGUGAUUGGCCGCUGGCUGCCGCUGUGGGCGAUUUCUGGCAUGCGGGGGCAGUGGUUUACGGCAGCGAAUUGGGAAAGAUGGACGGUGGGUCUCUAAGAGAGAUGGGAAGGGGGUAAGCUGUUCUGACAAUCAUAUAGUAAGUAAACCCUAGUUCUCGUCUAUUAGAUGAGAGAAAAUCGAUGAUCGAGAUUGGAUAGUAGUGAAACAGGGUCGUUUGGAUGGUAAGGGGGUUUGGACUAGGUUCUUUUGAAUGGUUUCGGCUGGUUUUGAAUGGGUUUGGACUGGUUUUGGAUGGGUUUAGACAGGUAUUGGCCCCAAAACUGGUUGUUUUUCAAGAUUUAUUUUUCUUUUAAAAUUAAAAAAAA